CAGCCGCCACGGGAAUACAGAGGGUGCGAGCGUUAAUCGGAUUUACUGGGCGUAAAGCGUGCGUAGGCGGCUAAUUGAGUCGGAUGUGAAAUCCCCGAGCUUAACUUGGGAAUUGCAUUCGAUACUGGUUAGCUAGAGUGUGGGAGAGGAUGGUAGAAUUCCAGGUGUAGCGGUGAAAUGCGUAGAGAUCUGGAGGAAUACCGAUGGCGAAGGCAGCCAUCUGGCCUAACACUGACGCUGAGGUACGAAAGCAUGGGGAGCAAACAGGAUUAGAUACCCCAGUAGUCCCUGUCUCUUAUAA
rnacentral:rRNA from 1 species